ensembl:lncRNA
CAAAGUUUGACAGGCAACACAACUCUUGGAUGAGGACUCAUUUCUUACAUAACAUGCAUCACAGUCCCACUGUCCUGGUUUCAUACCAAAUUGGCCACCGAAAUUCGAGCCAAACGCAGAGCUCAAAGGCUUGGUGGUUGGGGCAGCUUUCAUUUGGGUAGGUGGCCCUGCUUUUUCUGUGAUAACUGAUGCUGCUGAGGCCUGAGGAGUUUGACAGGCAACACAACUCGUCGAUGAGGACUCAUUUCUCACAUAACAUGCAUCACAGUCCCAUUGACCUUGUUUCAUCCCAAAUUGGCUACCAAAACUCGAUCCAAACGCAGAGCUCUGGGGCUUGCUGGUUGGGGCAGCUUCCAUUUGUGCAGGUGGGCCUGUUGUUUGAGAGACAACUGAUGCUGCUGAGGCCUGAGGAGUUUGACAGGCAACACAACUCGUCGAUUGGGACUCAUUUCUCACAUAACAUGCAUCACAGUCCCAUUGACCUUGUUUCAUCCCAAAUUGGCUACCAAAACUCGAUCCAAACGCAGAGCUCUGGGGCUUGCUGGUUGGGGCAGCUGCCAUUUGUGCAGG